AUCUAUUGCAAGGAUGGCAAAGAGGUGUCAUCUUGCAUGCCAACUCCAAUCCAUUGGUCGUGGCUGCCUAGAGUGCUGCAUUGGAAAGGAUGUUAAGGUCAUAUCUGAACUCAGCAGAAAAAAAGCACAUGAUUGAUUAGUGAUGUCUGCCACGGGUAAGAGCGGGAGGAUGAGCAGCAUUACAUUUGUCCUUAGUGAUCAAAUUCAGCUCCCUCACUAUGCGGAGAAGAAAACAUAGCCUGAGAGGGACAGUGACUUGGCCAAGGUCAAGGACUAGAACCAGGCUUCCUGAUUCCCUGUUUAGUGCUUUGUUCCUUACCACACAUCCACAAACUCAAGUCCAUAGGAAACAUCAGAGAUUUCCUCAAACAGGAAGUCUGGCCACUUUCCAGAGUUCUACUGCAUGGAGGCCUGGGUGCUUCAUUGGUCCCCUCCUGUGGAUCCUGG
rnacentral:lncRNA from 10 species